ACGCAGGAGGGAAUGUGCUUCCAGCUGGAAGGCGAAGGACGACAAGUGAAGGGAAGUGGGGGUGGGUGCAGAGACUAGAGUUCCAGAUUAAGGUGAGGCAGUCAGACAGGUGUCCGGCAAUGAUUUACUUUGCCUUUCUAGACUCUUUGUCCACAGCUAUAAGACAGCCAUCCAAGGUCUAGGUGCGUAGCUUGUGGUUCUUUAAGCUCUACCAUUUUCUUGGAUGAGUUCACCACCCAUCACCCAGAAGUUUCCUUGAUUGGCUCUUUCACCCGUUCAUCUAUCCCACAGAUAUUCACCGGUCACCUGUGACAUGCAGGCUAAGAGAGAGAGCACACAAGCAAGGGGGAGAAGCAGGCUCUCCACUGAGCUGUAAUGGACAAAGUCGAGAGAAGGAAGAGAAGAAUGGAAGAGAUAUACACUGAAAAAUUUACUGAUGACACAAUACCUGGGAGUCGUAUCACGUGAUGGAGGGGAAGGCGUUGAGGAUUGUUGAAGCCUCGCGAUGGGCACAUGAGGAUUGAGACGCUCCUCUCUUAUUUUUAUAUGUGUUUGAGAUUUCUCAUAAUAAAACAUUUUCCAACUGUUUCAACAGAUUUUAAAACAAAUGGACACUGUGCUUUCCCUACAUUCACGCUUAAUUUCUGCCGGUUGAGCUCACGGAGUCUUGGCCAGAGUAUUUCUGUUCUGUGCCUUCCUCUGAGGAUGCUUUUCUGGGGGUCCCGUUGCUACGAGCUCCUUCGUCCACUUCUUUAAUCUGCCAGUAACUUUUCUCCUUUAGUGAGAAUAUUCUUCUCAAAUUGCCCCCAACUCAUCAGAGAAAAGACAUCAAUUUUCCUUUGUAUGCUUCCUGGCUGUCCUUAGCUCGUUUUUCAACAUGAGAAAUAAGACAAAAAUGGGAAGAAUUAUAGUCGGCACACAAAAUGGGGAAUGUCUAUGUGCUGCUGGCUUUUCUAGUCAGAAGGGAGGGAUUUUCCACUUUAUUCUUAAAAAAAAAAAAAAAAGUCCGCCUGUCUCCCUUCUAACAAAUGUUAUCCACUGCUAGGUACUGCUCAAGAUUUAUCCAUUGGGUACUCUGAUGUGCUCCCCAGAAACUUUAUUGUCCCAGAUGUAAACUAUUUUGGAAACCAGAGCCCUUCGGACUUCUAAAGGAGCUCAGAUCCUUCUAGCAUAUCCCUCUUUAAAACGAAGCAGAAAAUCUAACAGAUUUUAUUUUGUUUUUAUUACAAUGUCUAAAAAUAUACUCAUCACAAAAAUUAGCAUUUUCAAACUCUUCCCAGGAAUCGAACAAGAUAGUUGCUGCUUGGCCCUGGGCAAACGUGGAUUGAAGGUGCCCAUCAUGAUCUCCGUGUUUCUCUGGGGAUGGAGGGCGACUGACAGCCGUGUAGUGUUAGUCCAAUGGUAUCAACACGGAGCCUGUAUUUGAAAUUUUGUUUCCCAUCCUCCCUUGAGAACAUUUUUUGUUUUUUUCACAGGAUCUGGACAGUGGAGAUGGGGAAAAGGUUAACAUAUGAUCGUUCAUAACAACUUGGCUUAUUGCAAGAAGGGGGUAGUAUUCAUAGGUGAAACAUUAGAAGUGUUAAAAAUGCAGGUGCAUUGACUGCCAGAAUCUCAUCACAGGAGCUAAUGUUCCCAAACUCCUAACCUCAAAACCCAGACAAAAUAUUCAGUGCACUGCACUAGAAACUUCUCUCCUGAGACUGUUAUUACCCUUUGCAUUCUGGAGGACAAAUGCGACGGGCAUAAAUCUGUCCUUUUCCCCUUUCAACGACUGAAUGUUGCUUCUGUUUGAGUCCGCUGCUUUCACCACGUUCCCGGGCUCCGCACAGAGACGGGAUGUGCGGAGCUUCGUGAGCGAGUAUCGAGGCACCAUGGAGACAUGCUGCCAUAAAAGUGUCUUCUCUCAUUUUCAAGGUAAACAAAUGUUAUUGCCACCAGGAAAUAGACCACAUGAAAAGAAACGUCGGGAACCUGGAAGAGCUGCCCAGGCAGUAAUUCUUUUCAGUUUCCAAGUUCAUUACCCUCAUUAACUCAAGUCAAUGGGACAGAACAAAAGGCUUCUCAAAAGCCCCAUAAACAUGAGGCAUACAUAUUUUAAAUCUCCAGCUAUAAAAUAAUGAAGCUGAGUUUUCUUCUUGCUCACAGUGCCCUUCCAGUUUUUCCCUUACGAUAAGUGUGCCUUGUAAUAUAGUCCUUGCGUCCUGUGUUACAAAGUACUAUUUAUCUUGAACUCACUUAUGGUUGGUGGGGGAGGGGGGGCAUGGAAGGCAAACAGCCACAACGCCGACUUUCCCCGUUUAGACUGUAGGAGGUAGCAGGUGUCACAGGGAACUUGUUGAGAAACACGCAUGUCUGCAGGUGGAAGGUUAAGCCCUGUGAAGGUGCAAGGGUCCCCACUUCUGUGAAAUUUCUGGGGGUCUGGGGGUCUGGCACAUGCUGGGACUUCCCCUCCAAUGUGAAGGGAUGGCUGCUGCGCUUUGGGUCCCCUGCCAUCAGAUAUGACAAAGGCAUAUGCUUGGGUUUUGGAGGCCACACAUAUGGCAUAUUUGUAUGACCUGUUUUUGCCGAUUUACUGGGUGACUCAAAAAGCCACCAGCUUGGAGAGUGAGAGAAGGCUCUUCAGCAGGGCCAGGCUACAGUUCGGUGGCUCUGACCCUCAGAGUUCACAGCCCACCCUCCUACCAUCAGGAGUUGCUGGUGGUUCUCUAAGAUAUUAUGAUGGUUUAUUUUACACGUCAACUUGGAUGGCCCAUGGUGUGCCCAGACAUUGGGUCAAACGUUAUUCUGGGUGUGCCUGUGAGGGCUGUUUCUGGAUGAGAUUAACACUGGAAUCAGUAGACUGAGUAAGGAAGAGUGCCCUCCCCCAAUGCGGGUGGGCCCUAUCUAAUCAGUUGAGGGCCUGAAGAGAACAGAAAUGCUGACACUCAUGAGUAAGGGGGAACUUCUCCUGCCUGAUGUCCUUGACCUGGGACAUUGGUCUUCUUCCAGCCUCUGGACUCAAACUGAAACAUUGGCUUUUCCUGGGAUUUGAGCCUGCUGGCAUAUGGACUGAAAAUUUUGCCAUCAGCUCUCCUGGGGCUCCGGCUCACUGACUGAAAUCUUGGGACUUCUCAGUGAGCCAACGCCUUAUAAUGAGAGAGAGAGAGAGAGAGAGAGAGAGAGAGGGAGGAGAUAUUUAUAUUUAUAUGUAAAGGUUCUGUUUCUCUGGAGAUUCCUGACUGAUACGGAUGGGGGAAUGAUCCUCUGAAGCUCAGACAUGGCAUCGUGAGGGGGGAGCCAAGAGCCUAUGAAGCUCUCUGUCCUUCAGGAGGUAGGGCAUCCAACCCCCAUCCAGAGGUCCAUGCUCGAUGCUUUUCUCCUUGUGGCUGAAAUAUGUAUGUCUGGGGACCCCGGGAUUGAGGUGGGAGUGACGCCUCUCUUGGUGGCACCCCAUAUUUUCUUCCUAUCCCCUCUGUGGCCAUGGCUCUGUUGGUUUAGGGGUUUUAGUUUCCAGACAGUAAUGGUUCUACCCUGAGACUCUCCCAGGCUAUUUUUGACAUCUUAUGCCUUUGGACAAAUAGGUUUCCCCUCCCAAAGCGGGCAGGUUUCUAAUAUUGGCUGAAACGCUGGAUCCUGUUGAGGGGAAUCAGGUUGCUGCCACAAGUGUGGGGUUGGGGGGGCUUGUGGCCCUAAGUCUGCAAGCUAAAGCUCUUCCCCCUGCCAGAGGCAAACACUGAUGGGGGAGAGGGGCGCAGCCCUGCACAGGGCAGUCUCCACAUUCCUGCUGCUGGAGGGCACGCUGCCUCCCAUCAUGCACUCAUCCCACAUUACGUAUAUUUGCUAUUAAAUUUCUGAAGAGGGUUUUACAAUUUUGCUUUUGACGUUAUUAUUCAUUUGAUGUUCUGUCUUCUCCGUCUUUUUUGUGGCCAAUAUUUCUUUCAAAUUUUAAUCAUGUCCAAAGAUGCUUGAACUGUUUGUAGGCUCAGGGCACCUGGGUGGCUCAGUCGAUUAAGCAU